UACAACAUUGGUCCACAUGCAACUGGAAAAAUUAACAACAUAGAUCGUUAAGAUCUCUGAAUCUAGGAGAUCUUUAAUACAUUGUUUGUCCAUGGUGGGACACAAAUUAGAACAAUGGUCUGGAUUUCCGAUUCACGGGCCCAAUUAUCAUACUUUAAAAGCCGCGUAUACUGUGCAGAUACGAGUCGUAUCAUAUAAAUUCUCCGAUUUCAAAAUACUCUCUCUCUCUCUCUCUCUCUCUAUACGGAUGCUCCGGGGGUGUACGUUAAGCUGGCGGGGCUUCUAUGGCUCGCGGGCUUCAGAUAGGCUUGUUGUCUUCACAGGGUCUUUUUCUUCUGUAGCUGUUCGCGGGAGCUGUUGAAACGUACUGGGCAGUGCUUUCUCUUGAACGGGCUGAUCUUCUUAGGAAGUAUAAUUAUUCUAAAUUCAGUAGUCAUCCCAAUUUUGCUGUGGAUAUUGCCGGUUCAAUGCCAUCAUCUUGGCUCACGAGAUCUAUGCGGCGCUGGAGACAUUUUAAAACUUUACUCCUUGCUGUUUAUCCUUAUUAAGCUUUUCUACGCAAGUAUUUAUAUUUCCAUUUUAUUGCUUGAUAUAAUAAGUUUCUACUGUAUAUUUUCUGUUGCACAACACAGUUUCUCCUUGUAUAUUUUGAUUGGAAGUUCAUUUUCUAUUUUAUUUUCUGUUACACAUGAAACAUGCUUGUAGAACACUACAUCAUCAUGAGAAUAAUUGGUCAACA